AAUUUCUGGGGUCACCUAGAGAGAGGGAUGCAUCAGUCAGGAGAACCUAAGUUAGGAGGGGGCAGCCAUGACUCCCAAAUGUCAAAGGCUUCCAGAAACAAUGCCGUAUGUCUCAGUCCUGCUUCCCAUCCUUUCCGAGUUGACUGUCAUCCACUCCAGAACGUCUUUACUCAGGGAUCUGCAGCAGCGCAGCAGCCCUUCUCUGGAGUAUUGUGGGUCUCAGAGCAGAGAGGAAGAGGAUGUGGUCGGUUCCAGUCUGUUUCCGUGUGGCUACACCCAUCUUCCCCGCUAAAGCAGGUCACACAGCCAGCCAGUAUUUAAUAGGGCAGCAAUGUAUGAUCUCUCAGAGGCACCGAGCACAGGGCAAAACAGAUCAUACAGCUGAGCACUGGGACGGCUCCUGAGAGGCUGGCGGCAGCCGUAAAACAGACUGUGCUUGUGAGCAGACAACCGUCCAGGUACUUGGAAGUUCUGGUAAAACAUACACGUGUCUGGCUUCUUGUCAUUACUGCUCGUGUCCUGCCUUUGCCUUCUCAGUGCUGCGGAAGAGUGACAGCCUGCUGUGCAAGCAUCUCCUGGCGAUUUAUCUUAGUCAGGU